rnacentral:rRNA from 1 species
CCUACGGGAGGCAGCAGUGAGGAAGAUUGGUCAAUGGACGAGAGUCUGAACCAGCCAAGUAGCGUGAAGGAUGACUGCCCUAUGGGUUGUAAACUUCUUUUAUAAAGGAAUAAAACGAGGCACGUGUGCCUUUUUGCAUGUACGUUAUGAAUAAGGAUCGGCUAACUCCGUGCCAGCAGCCGCGGUAAUACGGAGGAUCCGAGCGUGAUCCGGAUUGAGUGGGUUUAAAGGGAGCGUAGAUGGGUUGUUAAGUCAGUGGGGAAAGUUUGCGGCUCAACCGUAAAAUUGCAAUUGAUACUGGCAGUCUUGAUUACAGUUGAGGUCGGCGGAAUUCGUGGUGUAGCGGUGAAAUGCUUCGAUAUCACGCAUAACCCCGAUUG